rnacentral:rRNA from 1 species
UACGGGGGGGGCAAGCGUUGUUCGGAAUUACUGGGCGUAAAGGGCGCGUAGGCGGGAUGGCAAGUCGGUCGUGAAAUCCCUCGGCUCAACCGAGGAACGUCGAUCGAUACUGCUGUUCUUGAGGAUUGCAGAGGAGACUGGAAUUCCCGGUGUAGCGGUGAAAUGUGUAGAGAUCGGGAGGAACACCGGUGGCGAAGGCGGCAUCCUGGACCAACACGUGACACUGAGGAGCGAAAGCCAGGGGAGCAAACGGG